rnacentral:lncRNA from 1 species
UUUUUUUUUUUUUUAAGAUUUAUUUAUUUAUUUUAUGUAUAUGAGUACACCAUUCCUCUCUUCAGACACACUAGAAGAGGGCAUCAGACCCCUUUGCAAUGGUUGUGAGUACCAUGUGGUUGCUGGGAUUUAAACUCAGGACCUCUGGAAGAGCAGUCAGUUCUCUUAACCACUGAGCCAUCUCUCCAGCCCUCAAGGAUUCUUAGGACUGUUAAGCACAUUUGUUGGAGGCCAGCCUGGUCGACAGAGCAAGUUCUAGGACAGCUGGGGAUACAUAGAGAAACCCUGUCUUAAAAAGCUUAAAAAAAAAAAAAAAAAAAAAAAGGAGGACUAUGUCUUUUCAAUUAGGCCCUAAUAAAAAGAAUUUGACAUCAUACAAGAAUGCUCAGGAGUCUGGGAACCAUCUGGAGACCUUGCACCCGAGGGCUGGCUUGCAUAUGUCCUACAGGUUAAUAUGGCUUCCCUACUCCUUACCACAGGACCUUUCCAUGGGCUGAGUGCUUGAAUGUGCUUAAGUGUGCUUAAGUGCAUCUGCCUUGCCCAGAGUCUUGGAAAUCAUACUCUACCAUUUCCACAAGAGCUGCUGAUAUGUGCUCAGCUCUUUCUGUUUCCUCUUGGGUUCUAUUAGAAGUGAGAGCCCUUGAGACUAUCAUGGAGUCUGACUCCUACACAAUGUGAUUGUGUUUUAAAGGAUGUCCAGUUGUCCCCAGCCAGGCCCCCGUGUCUUGCCUGGGGUUUUGAGGCAGCCAGCCUCUAUGCUUAUUGCAUUUCUCUCAAGCCAUCCAUAUAGACCGAGGCUCCUCUGUAGAGGAGUGCCCAGAUGGACAGGUACUCUAAUGGAGCUUAGGGUCAUGUGUGCUGUCAGGAGGCUUCCUUGUAUCCAGUGCCUCUUGCAUCUCUUGCUGCCCAGCUAAUGCAGUACCAGCCCAUCAGAGGAGUCUUAGCACAGGCGAGUGUCCUGCCAGCCAUUCAUUUGAUGUACUGUAUGUGUGAGGGUGGACUAGGCUGUUUUACAGCUGCUGAUCAAAGUCCUACUCCACUGCUUCAUGGUUUAGACUCACUGUUAGAUGGAUAGAGCAUUGAAGCUAAGGCCCAGACAUGGUCAGACACCACCAGUGCCUUGGGGUCCUCUCCCUAUGAGUGCUCGUAAGUACCAGUGAUUUCGUAUGUACCAGCAGGGCUGUGUGUGGCUGCAGUGAUCUGGGAGGGUGCUCUUCUGCUUGUCUUCGUGGCAGUCAUUCUUGUUACUGACUUAAAACCAUGACGUCACAUGUUUACUGCGGGACAGAGCCAGGGCU